GCGCCCGUAGCUCAGCUGGAUAGAGCAACGGACUUCUAAUCCGUAGGUCGCAGGUUCGAAUCCUGCCGGGCGCGCCA
rnacentral:tRNA from 5 species